UUCCGGUUGAUCCUGCCGGAGGUUACUGCUAUCGGGGUUCGAUUAAGCCAUGCAAGUUAAAUGUUUUUCGUAAACAUAGCGAACUGCUCAGUAACACGUGGAUAACUUAACCUUAGGUCCGGCAUAACCCCGGGAAACUGGGGAUAAUUCCGGAUGUAUCAAGGNUGCUGGAAUGCCCUUUGGUUCAAAGCUUUUGUGCCUAAGGAUAGGUCUGCGGUCUAUCAGGUUGUAGUGGGUGUAACGUACCUACUAGCCGACGACGGAUACGGGUUGUGAGAGCAAGAGCCCGGAGAUGGAUUCUGAGACAAGAAUCCAGGCCCUACGGGGUGCAGCAGGCGCGAACACUUUACAAUGCGGGAAACCGCGAUAAGGGAACCCCGAGUGCCAGUACUAAGUGCUGGCUGUCUAGAUGAAUAGAUAUCAUUUAAUAGCAAGGGCCGGGCAAGACCGGUGCCAGCCGCCGCGGUAACACCGGCGGCCCGAGUGGUAACCGAUAUUAUUGGGUCUAAAGGGUCCGUAGCCUGUUUAAUAAGUCCUUUGGGAAAUCUGGCAGCUUAACUGUCAGGCUGCUAAAGGAUACUGUUAAACUUGGGACCGGUAGACGUAGGGGGUACUCCAGGGGUAGGAGUGAAAUCUUGUAAUCCCUGGGGGACCAUCUGUGGCGAAGGCGCCCUACGAGAACGGGUCCGACGGUGAGGGACGAAAGCUAGGGGAGCAAACCGGAUUAGAUACCCGGGUAGUCCUAGCUGUAAACGAUGCUCGCUAGGUGUCAGGCACGGUGCGUCCGUGUCUGGUGCCGCAGGGAAGCCGUUAAGCGAGCCACCUGGGGAGUACGGUCGCAAGGCUGAAACUUAAAGGAAUUGGCGGGGGAGCACUACAACGGGUGGAGCCUGCGGUUUAAUUGGAUUCAACGCCGGA
rnacentral:rRNA from 1 species